rnacentral:tRNA from 1 species
UCUCGGUAGCCAAGUUGGUUUAAGGCGCCAGACUGUAAAUCUGGAGAUCGGGUGUUCGACUCACCCCCGGGAGA